AUGCGAACUAAAGCCUACUCAUCCCCAGAUCAAUUAUUUGUUACACAUCGAGGCGCCAUAUUAGUGUUUCUUAUUAUCUACCUUGAUGCCAUACUAAUUUCUCUGAUUCCAAAAUUGCUGGCACCACUUCCUGGUGCCUGUUGGUGCAAGGACCCAUGCCUUCCAUCUGAGAAAUGUAAAGGAUGGAUCAAUUGA
rnacentral:rRNA from 1 species